rnacentral:lncRNA from 10 species
GUAGGGAUGGCGCUUUCCUGACGGCGACCGGGGUCCUCGUACUGACCGCCCAGACUAGCUAAACUGGCUUUUCUGUGGUUGGUGCUCAACUUUGGGGACUUGGGACAGGUGAAACAGAGUGUAACCAAAGGAGAUUUCCCAGAGGAAGGUAAAAUGUGAGCUGAAUUUUAAAGGAUCAUCAGAAGAAAAUGAGGAUCCUAGGUCAAAGAAACAGACA